rnacentral:rRNA from 1 species
AUCAACGCCGCGUGAGCGAAGAAGGCCUUCGGGUCGUAAAGCUCUGUUGUUAGAGAAGAACAUGGGUGAGAGUAACUGUUCACCCCUUGACGGUAUCUAACC